rnacentral:rRNA from 1 species
GACGUAGGUGGCGAACGUUAUCCGGAAUUAUUGGGCGUAAAGGGUGCGUAGAUGGUCUGAUAAGUUAGCAGUGGGAAACCGAGGCUCAACCUCGUGGAAGCUGGUAAUACUGUUAGGCUUGAGUACAGGAGAGGUUAAUGGAACUCUAUGUGGAGGGGUAAAAAUUCCAUAGAUGAUAUAGAUAACACCAAGUAACGGCGGA